rnacentral:rRNA from 1 species
UACGUAGGAGGCAAGCGUUGUCCGGAGUUACUGGGCGUAAAGGGCCCGCAGGCGGUGGAGUAAGUUUGGAGUGACAGUUCCCAGCUUAACCGGGAAAGGACUUCGAAAACUGCUCGACUUGAGGACUGGAGAGGAAGGCGGAAUUCCGGGUGGAGCGGUGAAAUGCGUAGAGAUCCGGAGGAACACCGACGGCGAAGGCAGCCUUCUGGAAAGUACCUGACGCUGAGGGGCGAAAGCUAGGGGAGCGAACGGG